CUCUACAGCCAUACCACCCUGAACGCGCCCGAUCUCGUCUGAUCUCGGAAGCUAAGCAGGGUCGGGCCUGGUUAGUACUUGGAUGGGAGUCAGCGCUUUUCAAAUGAUGAAUGGGUGAUGUUUCAA
rnacentral:rRNA from 1 species